rfam:Stachybotrys chartarum IBT 40288 unplaced genomic scaffold scaffold1025, whole genome shotgun sequence.
UCGUCUUGUGCCAUUGCUCGAUCAAGCACCUUCUCGUAGCCUGAUCUUGAGCCGGCUACCCGUCUCGGCGAGUAAAAGACAAGAGAAACCCCGACAACGUUUUUUGAGUACGGAACCUCUAGUACUCGUACGUAUAGAGUCUUUCGUAAUUUAUCAGUUGUUACAUAC